rnacentral:rRNA from 1 species
GACUAAGCCAUGUUAGUUUCGGGUGCUUGCAUCCGGAGCGUACAGCUCAGUAACACGUAGUCAACCUGCCCUCAAGUCUGGAAUAAUCCUGGGAAACUGGGGCUAAUACCGGAUAGGUGAAAAAUACUGGAAUGUUUUUUCAUCCAAAGAUACGCUUGAGGAUGGGACUGCGGUCGAUUAGGUUGUUGCCGGGGUAACUUCCCGACAUGCCGAUAAUCGAUACGGGCCUUGAGAGAGGAAGCCCGGAGAUGGAUUCUGAGACAAGAAUCCAGGUCCUACGGGACGCAUCAGGCGCGAAAAUUCCACAAUGCGCGAAAGCGUUAUGGAGAAACCCGAAGUGGGUUCGCUAAGCGAAUUCUUUUGUCAAAUGUAAAAAGUUUGGAGAAUAAGGGGUGGGUAAGACAGGUGCCAGCCGCCGCGGUAAUACCUGCGCCCCGAGUGGUAGUCACGUUUAUUGGGUUUAAAGCGUCCGUAGCCGGUUUGUUUAGUUUUUAAUGAAAUUCCACAGUAAACUGUGAGACUUGUUAGAAAUACUGGCAUGACUUGGGACCGGGAGAGGUUAGGAGUACUGCAGGGGUAAGGGUAAAACACGCUGUUCGCAUUCGCUUACAGGCGAUGCAAACCGAGUUUACAUUCUUAUAAUCCUUGCGGGACUACCAGUGGCGAAGGCGCCUAACUAGAACGGAUCCGACGGUGAGGGGCGAAAGCUAGGGGAGCAAAGGGGAUUAGAUAGACCUUUUUUACGAGAGGCUUCCGCCUUCUGCAAAAAACGUCUACGAAAAAAGUGCAGAAAGCAACGGAAAAUGUAAAAAUGGUCCUGAAUACCCCCGUAGUCCUAGCUGUAAACGAUGCCCACUAGACAUUGGCAAUCUUACGGGGGUUGUCAGUGCCGUAGCGAAAGCGUUAAGUGGGCCGCCUGGGGAGUACGGUCGCAAGGCUGAAA